GGCUUCUUUCCAACGCUCUAACAGCCAUGACAAAGUGAGGAAAAUAGUUGCAGAAGAGGGACGUACAGCAAGGAACCUAAUUGCAUGGAGCGUUCCACUGGAAAACAAAGAUGAUGAGGGAAAAUCGAAAUGGCAAGCUGGUGGAAAAACAAAGAGAGUGACUCAAGGAACACACAAGACUGCAAAACAGAACACUACCAUAGACUGUAAAUUAACAGCAGCAGCAGCUGGAGAUAAAAACUUUGACAAAAGCCCAACAAAAACAAGGCAGCCUCGCAAAGUUGAUCUGCGAGCUCGAUACUGGGCAUUUCUUUUUGACAAUCUGAGACGGGCUGUUGAUGAGAUCUAUGUUACAUGUGAAUCGGAUCAGAGCGUGGUAGAAUGCAAGGUAAGUCUUCA